AGUGCAACGAAGAUCGCACUAGUCAUAGACAUGUGCAACCCACAUCGCACGCACUUUUUCCUUAGUCAUCCAAAAGGAGUGAAAUCCCUUCGCACACAGAUUCUUCACGCCUCUCUUUCCUAAUCCUACCCCAUCGCGUUGUCGACAAUUGCUCAAUCCCCUGUGCAACCUGCGAUCCUGCGGACUCCCCACGCAAAGUCAGAAAUUUUAGCAGCAGCACUCGAUUCCCCUUCCCCUUCCCCUUUCCUCUCCGCUUUAUAUCAAACAGUUGGUGGUUGUGUGCUCAAGGCAGGGAGAGAUGGAACCUCCGAAACCAGAGGCGCCCUGUUGGAAGAAGAAGAAGAAGAAGAGCGAGGCUGGCUCGGGCUUCCUAGGUAAUGUCGCGGGCCAUUUCCACCAAUUUUGGAGAGCCUCCAUGGAUGAGCACAGGAUCUGCCUCAAACGGACCGUCCAGGGCGUCAGGGAGUAUGCCAAGCUGAGGAAGCAAGGCAAAGUGCUUCCUAAUUCUUCAAGAUUCUGCAGCUGACGGCGAUUCUGCUGCUAUGGACGUCGUUCACUGCAUUUUUGCUAUUAUUAUUUCUUUUUCAUGAUUAAACAAUAUUUGCAUACUGUAAA